GUGAAAUGCCCACGGAGAUUUUUUUUUUUUGAAGGAAAAAUUGAUGAGAGGUGCAGACAGUUUUAGAGCUAAAAUAUUCCACAAAGCAUUUACUCGCAUGAGAAUAUCAGCAAGCCUCAAGUGUAAUGUAUUACCAUAGUAUGGUACGAUGGCAUUGGAUGUAGCCCCAUUAGAAUAAGCAAUUGGAUGCUGAGGCAGAGCAGGUUGCAUUGGAGCAGAAUAUGCUUGUGAUGCAGGGAAAUUUGAAUUUGGAUUCAACGGAUUCAAAGAGUUAGUAAGGAACAAGUGCGAGGGAGUUUGCAGGUUCAGGUUUGAUGUAAUCAUCUCCACUAAGAAGGUCGAUAACUGGAACUGGUGCUGCUGGAGCUUU